rnacentral:rRNA from 1 species
CAUUACACAAAUAUGAAGGCGGGCUGGAACCUCUCGGGGUUACAGCCUUGCUGAAUUAUUCACCCUUGUCUUUUGCGUACUUCUUGUUUCCUUGGUGGGUUCGCCCACCACUAGGACAAACAUAAACCUUUUGUAAUUGCAAUCAGCGUCAGUAACAAAUUAAUAAUUACAACUUUCAACAACGGAUCUCUUGGUUCUGGCAUCGAUGAAGAACGCAGCGAAAUGCGAUAAGUAGUGUGAAUUGCAGAAUUCAGUGAAUCAUCGAAUCUUUGAACGCACAUUGCGCCCUUUGGUAUUCCAAAGGGCAUGCCUGUUCGAGCGUCAUUUGUACCCUCAAGCUUUGCUUGGUGUUGGGCGUCUUGUCUCUAGCUUUGCUGGAGACUCGCCUUAAAGUAAUUGGCAGCCGGCCUACUGGUUUCGGAGCGCAGCACAAGUCGCACUCUCUAUCAGCAAAGGUCUAGCAUCCAUUAAGCCUUUUUUUCAACUUUUGACCUCGGAUCAGGUAGGA